CUGUGCUCUCUGGACCCAGUUUUUGACUUCAUCUGUCCUGCGAGCCCCUCCAAACCCUCACACCAUCAAAGCUCUGGGCGGUUCUGACGCCUUCCCCUGUCUGAGACUGUUUCCUCAUCUGUUAAAUGGAGACAGUCAGGGCACCCUCCUUCCAGGCAGCACUCAGAAAGGGGGUCUCUAAACAAAGCUGUAGCCUCUUCUUUCUGAAUGUCAAGUGGAACAGCCCGCUUCCCGGCCACCUGCCCCCCGCAGGUGUGUUGAACCGAAGGUGGCAGGUGUAACCAAUUUUCUUUCCCAGCAUUUUCUCUCCCAGCACCUGCCCACCCCCUCCUCUAUCACCCCAGCCAUGGAAGCAUGCUUUCGUUGGGUCUGGGUCCCAAGACACAGCCCGUGACAGCACCGCCUGCCGUUUGAUGCAUGACAAGUCAGGGGCUGGGGGAUUGCAUGGCUUCCUUACUGCGAGACUCAGCCAGCUCCUCAUCGUGGGGUCUGUCUCUUGUGACACCCCCUUUCCAGGCAGCAACGUCUGCAUUAUUGAAGCCUCUUUUGCUUGUAAGUGGCAGAGCCUGGGAAGGCCAGGGAAAGUCCUUCAGGCACAGCCGGAUCCAGGGCUCAGGUGAUAACAUCAGCUCCCCUUCUGUGUGUCUAGCUUUAUCUCCCUCCAGCUGUCGGCUUCCUUCUGUGUCUCUCUAAGGAGGGGGAGAUGUGGCUGUCGGCUGUUCCAGAUUUACUUCCUGCCAGUUGAGCAGAAAGAAAACUUCUCUGCCUCAGCAUUUCAGACAGUUCGGUGAGUUUUGACAAACACGGGUAGCCAUGGAAUCACCACGACAAUCAAGCUGCAAAGCAGUGCAUCACCCCCAGACUCCACUGCGCUGUCUGGAGCCACCCCCUCGUCCUGCUCCUGGGCAACCACGGAGCUGAGUUCUGUUGCUACAGCUCUUCCCUGUCUCUGAACGCUGCAGAAGGGGAAUCACAGAGGACGCAGCAUCGUGAGUCUGGUUUCCCCGGCCGGAAUUCCGGAUUUGUCUUGUCGUCAUGCACACCUUCCAUUUUAUGGCACAACGGUGCCCAGUUGUACAGCUGCACCACUUUGCUCAUUCCUUUCCCAGUUGAGGGAUAUUUGGGUUGUGUCCAGGUUUGGGCCACUAGAAAUAAAGCUUCCAUAAACA